AUUGAACGCUGGCGGCAUGCCUUACACAUGCAAGUCGAACGGCAGCGGACCUUCGGGUGCCGGCGAGUGGCGAACGGGUGAGUAAUAUAUCGGAACGUACCUUUCAGUGGGGGAUAACGUAGCGAAAGUUACGCUAAUACCGCAUAUUCUGUGAGCAGGAAAGCAGGGGAUCGCAAGACCUUGCGCUGAUUGAGCGGCCGAUAUCAGAUUAGCUAGUUGGUGAGGUAAAGGCUCACCAAGGCGACGAUCUGUAGCGGGUCUGAGAGGAUGAUCCGCCACACUGGAACUGAGGCACGGUCCAGACUCCUACGGGAGGCAGCAGUGGGGAAUUUUGGACAAUGGGCGCAAGCCUGAUCCAGCCAUGCCGCGUGAGUGAAGAAGGCC
rnacentral:rRNA from 1 species